rnacentral:lncRNA from 1 species
CAAAUAUAUCUGACACUCUGCAAGUAAAUCGAACAUUUUUACCCUUGGUUAAAUUUGAAUAGAAUUGUAUUUUCCCUGGCACAUAAGUUGUCGAAAUACACCCCUUCAAUUACUUGAACCUUGGCUUGAGAAUUAUUUCCCAAGUCAUCUAUAGCGUUUAACUUCUGAUAUACAUUCUAAAAUAUAGUAAUCUACUCCUGGAUCGUCCGCGAAAACGGCAAAUAUAAUCCCGGGUUUUUAUUAAUUCGAUGAAACGGUUUUCGUUGCUGUUUGGGAUUCGUCUUUCAAUUACCUCCAUUUCAUGCACAAGUUUAUAUUGACGAAAAGUUCCGGCUUCGCUAGUACAGGAAUUAUUUUCAUCACGACCGUUAUAACAUGAAUAGCAGGACAAAUCGCGAAGUAAAACAUUCCGUGAACUGGUAUUAAGUCUUUUAAUAUUGGUGAUUGCACCUUACUGAAGUGACGACUUUAAAUGAUCUAUUUCGGAGUACUUCCGUAAAAUAAAUUUCAAUUCGCAUUUUACAUUUAGAGGACUGUCUUGGUGUCUCCAAUUUGUCUUUGCAAAAGUUGGACGAAGUUCAUGUAAUGGGAUGUUUUCCCCAUUUCCCAAUUCUUUUAAAUAAAUCGUUAAAAGCUAUAAACGACUAAUAAAAAUUGCAAAAUUUAACCUGUGUCGAACCUAUGUCCCCGGGCGGAGUCUAUAGCAACAUGCACUAUUCUUUUUUUUUCGGCAGCAAUCAUCAAC